CCUGGUGUGGCCUUUGCUACCUCCCUCCCCCACUUCUGCUGAAAUGGAACAGAUGAGCCCCGGGGUUUUUCUUUGUUUCUGUUCCACUGUGGUUUGUUUAUGUUGUUGCUAAGAAUUUAUCUACCACAAUGCUUUGUUAUUAUUAACACUUGCAAGUAUGUAUGCCUUAAAAUUUCACUUUCUCUCACUUUUUCUGUGUAUAUCCCUAAAAUAAUAUCCAAGGAGCCCACGUUGUCACUCUUCUUCCUUGCCUUGAUUUGCUCUGUGUCUUCCUCCUUAAAACAAAUAUUGUUCCAAGGACAUGGCUCAUCCUUCUUGGCUCCACUUCCAGGAGACACCCUGAUGCCAUAGAUAAUGAUAGUUAAUUUUACAUUUUAUACAUAUAUAUAACAUUUAAUUAUUCUAAUAUUCAGUAACUUCUUUGUGCGAAUAAGUGCUGGUUAGUGACUAAAAAGUGGGGAUUUGAAAGUGCACAUCGUAUUUCGGGGUCGGUUGUAAUAGUUUAAUUUUAACAUGUAUCAUGUGGAGUUGUUUCCUUCUGUUUAUGUCUGAGGGAUUGAUAUGUUUUAAGUUUCCCAGUGUAAGGUAGAUCUGUAGAAAUCAAAUCCAGUGACAAGAGAGAAGAACAUUAUCUGACUUGCUUUAUGCCAUAAAUAUUAUGCUGGAGUAUAUAUUAUAUGCUAGUUUUUGGUUAUGGUGCUCACAUUUCAGUAUCAAAUUGCUAAAAUUAUUAAUCUGAAUGAUGCUUUCACCUUCUUUUUCUUAUGAAAUUUUCUUACGUAUUUUUAUUUAGUUUAAUCUGAAAACCAAAAGCAUUUAGUUUAAUCUGUAAACCGAAAGUAUCUGAAACAAGUCUCAAUUAAUUUAGUAUUUCAUUUUGCUAGGGUUAAUGUGCCCAAGGUGGUUGACCUUUAAGUUUUAGGGAGACAUAAGGUAUCAAUCAAUACAUGUAAGCUGUACAUUGGUUUAGAAAUGUGGGACAACUGGAAGCUGGUCUGUGGUGGGGGCGCUCCAGCUCGUAGCUGGACUCAAAGAUUUUUCUGAUUGGCAGUUGGUUGAGUUGCUAUCUAGAGACCUGGAAUCAAUAGAAAGCAAUGUCUGGAUUACCUUGUGGAGACUAAGAUUUCAUUGUACAGAUGAAGCCUGCUACCUGCAGGCUUCAGAGAGAAUAGAUGAUAAAUGUUUCCUUUCAGACUUGGAGUCUGUUGUCUCAGCCUUAAGGUCUGUGUUGAUGGUAAUGGUAAUGAGGUGUGUCUGAUGCUCCCCCCAACAUCAUGGCCUAAAGUAGUUUUACAGGUUAACUUUGGAAUGCCCCUGGCAGAGAGGAGGGGCUGUUCAGUUAGUUGUGGGCUUAUAAUUUUAUUUUUGGUUUUACUUGUUACCCAGUUUGUAAGUUGUUAUAUAAAGCUGAUGUUGACAUUCAUACACAAUCAGAAGUGAAGAGCGUACUGAGAUCAUUAACUUGUUUCAUUUGUGUUACAAGUCUUUAAAUGGCUACUCAGUGCAUAAGUAAAAUUUGUUAACACCGUUUACCUUAAUAUCUGAGGGCUGGAAUUUUGAAACCAAAACCCUAAACAUAAUCCAAUACAAAGUAACAAUACUAUUCCUACUUAUUCCUCCCCUGUCCCUCCCCGCACAUAUAAAGAUCUUGGAAUUUAUCCAAGAAUUGAUUUCACUUAAUAACGAUUGGUGUUGUGUGUGAAGCGAAGUUUUAAAAGAAAUGCUCCAUAAAUGUUAACGUCAUUCCUGGAGCAGCAGGGAAAUGAUGACAUGGUCAUUCUUGCUCUGUUUUGGGGCCACUGUGACAAAGUGCCAUAAACUUGGUGGCUUCAAACAACAUACGUAUCUUCUAAUGGUUCUGGAGGCCAGAAGUCCGAAAUCAAUCCCUCUGGGCUAGAACGAAGGGCUGGGCAGGUCCUGCACUCUGGAGGCUCCUGGAGAAGCUAUUCCUGCUUUUCUAGCUUCUCAGCCUGCCGCAUUCCAUGGCGGCAGGCCCUUCUCCUUCAGAGCCCCUGCUUCCAGCCUCAUAGGGUCUUUCUGCUUUCUGUUUUGUCAAACCUCUGUUCCUCCCUCUUUUCUUUCUUUUCCGUAGACAAGGGUCGAGGCUGGAGUGCAGUUGCAUGAUCAUAGCUCACUGCAGUCUUGAUCUCCUGGACUCAAGCACCCCUUCCACUUCAGCCUCUUGAGCAUCUGGGACUACAGGCCUGCAGAUAGCUUAAUUAGCAAAUUAGAUUAGAUUAGCUAAUUUGCUAAUUUUAAACAAUUUUUGCGGAGACGGAGUCUCACUCUGUUCCCCAGG